UACAGAGGGUGCAAGCGUUGUUCGGAAUUAUUGGGCGUAAAGCGCGUGUAGGCGGCUUUGCAAGUCGGGUGUGAAAGCCCUCAGCUUAACUGAGGAAGUGCGCCCGAAACUGCAGAGCUUGAGUACCGGAGAGGAUGGUGGAAUUCCCGAAGUAGAGGUGAAAUUCGUAGAUAUCGGGAGGAGCACCAAUGGCGAAGGCAGCUCGCUGGGACGGUACUGACGCUGAGACGCGAAAGCGUGGGGAGCAAACAGG
rnacentral:rRNA from 1 species